GGAUCGGUAGCUUAGUUGGUAAAGCGCUCGUCUAGCAUACAAGAGUCCUGGGUUCAAAUCCCAGCCGAGCAC
rnacentral:tRNA from 1 species